UUUCACAACAAUAAUUUAAUCAUUUAAUACACAUACAUUUCAAUUUUUUUUUAAGUAUAGAGCAUUGACAAAAAAAAAAGUCAAAAGGCACACAACCUUAUUCCAAGGCAAGACAGGAAUUACAAAAAUACUCUAGCAUGUAAAAUAGAUCAAAAAGAUAAAACUGUAAAUAAAAACCAUGUCCCUAAAUAAAUGUGUAGAGUGCUUGGUAAAAGUAAAGUACAUUUGGAAUGUUUCAUAGGAUCACAAGUUAUCAGUGAUAUGAAAAGGACCAAAUAGUUAUUGAACAUGAACUGUAAAACAAAAAUUAGUGCUAAACUAAAGAUGGAAGAAGUGCUGACACAGGCAAUACUUGACAAGAAUGAGAUGAAAAUAUUUGAGCAAUGAGAAGCAUGGUAACAAACAACUCGAUCUAGCUCAGAUAAACACAGAUCAAACAAUGCCCCAUGUCAUACUAGCCAAUAUAAACUAAAAUGGGGACUUUUUGAUCAAGGACAUAUACAUCAAAAUGAUAAUUAGAUAUUUACACACAAAAAAUAUAUACAAAAAUCCAAGAUAUAUGGUAUAUUGUAUAUAAGGAAAAAAUGUUUAAACAAUUCUGAAAAAUUGAAAUGACUUUUUAUGGACAUCUAGCAAUGCAGUUUUAAUAUUUUAAAUGUAACAAACAAGAUUAUAACAUUCUGUGAAUAGCCUAAGUUAAUUUAACCCCUCUGGUUAAUUAAAAACUUAACAUCUGUUAAUUUAUUAGUUUUCCAGAAUAACUGAGUCAACAAACUGUAAUGUACAUUGUACAGAAAGACCUCCGGUACGAGCUGAUCAUAAGUAACAAAGGUGUUUCACGUGUUUCUAAACUGUUUAGUGAUAGCACUGUUACUGUCACUGCUGUUCAUUGACUCUUGGAUGUUAUAAAAUUAACAAAACACUUACAGCUGUUAUUACAUUCUAAGACUUCAAAGAUGCUCACAAAAGAUUAAAACAGUUCAUAGAAACAUGGUACAGUUUAAAGCUUAUACAACUCACUGGAUUUAGUAUUCAAGCUCAAAAUCUCAUGGGAAUACUUCAAUCAAAAAUAAAUCAUGAUUGAACUAAUUAUAGGGUAUGGUCUUUGAAUCCAAAAGAUUAAGGAUGAGUACAAUAUUGAACAUGAAGCGUGGUGACAGAUUUAGCUGUUUAUAAAAUGAUUUUCUAAAAACUUUUUGACGUUGACAGAUAUACACAAAAAGGUGAUUAUGUAUUAAAUUAGAUGAGAUAAAUCACAGAAAGAAUGGAAUGCUAAAUUUUCAAAAACAUAGAAAUUGUAAUAUUAAAAAUGUAUCUUUCUACAAAAAAAAGUACAUCAGUGUAUACCAUUUUUGAAAGCUUCGCAAAUUAGGCAUAUAUAGGAAUAAAAUAUGGAAUGUAAAUUGUUGCUUCAAAGAAAAUAUUUUUAAUUAUCAGAGGAUAAGAUUUUAUAUUUAGUAGAAAAUACAUGUAAGUAUGAACAUUGAUAGAGAAAUAUAGUAGAUUUAAAAAAAAAUUACAACAGGGGCAUAAAAAAACAACAACCUACAAAGUCAAACAGAAAAUGUAUAAUACAAAAAUAUUACAAAAUAUAUAUAUAUUACUUUUU